rnacentral:misc_RNA from 1 species
AAGUCGUAACAAGGUUUCCGUAGGUGAACCUGCGGAAGGAUCAUUAACACGUAUCCAAACGUUAAACCCUAGAAAAAGCAGCAAUCCCUGGUAAAUCAUCGCCGAACAGUUUUCGAUUCAGGGACGUCUGCAAGGAGCGUGCAUGUUGUGCGUGUAAGUGGCCUGGCAUCCCCAAGCAGUUAGUGUCUGAAAGUGUCACUAACGUUAGUGUCUGAAAGUGUCACUAACAUGUGUAAGGAUGACGCAGUCACGAUCGUUGGAGGCCCACACGGCCGACGACCGGGUCACUGGGUGCAAGCCCCCUUAUCACACCCCUGCUCUAUCUAUGGUGAUCCUGCGGGAAGUCCUGCGGUCGAACGCCGAAACCGAACAACUGUUAACAAUGGAUAUCUUGGUUCUC